UACGUAGGGCGCAAGCGUUGUCCGGAAUUAUUGGGCGUAAAGAGCUCGUAGGCGGCUUGUCACGUCGGGUGUGAAAGCCCGGGGCUUAACCCCGGGUCUGCAUUCGAUACGGGCUAGCUAGAGUGUGGUAGGGGAGAUCGGAAUUCCUGGUGUAGCGGUGAAAUGCGCAGAUAUCAGGAGGAACACCGGUGGCGAAGGCGGCGCUCUGGGCCGGUACUGACGCUGAGGAGCGAAAGCGUGGGUAGCAAACAGG
rnacentral:rRNA from 1 species